GCCGCUGGCAGGGAAUGAUCCAAUUGUAUCAGUGUGUUAGUAGUAGCAUGGUGUGAAGUCGAACUGUCGAAGACUUAGUUUGGCUGGUUACUGGUUAGGGCUUAGUCUGGGCUUAGGAAUUUACUCAUGGAGUCAAAUCAUUUCAGGCCUAGGUGGCCUCGGUAUAAACAAGAAAGAUAGUAUGUGAUAUCUCUUAUCUGGGCUAUUUCUGGCUUAUAAAAACAUUAAUUUUCAGCCUUAUUUUACAAGUCUUUGUAUCAAUAUAUUUUUAAUAGAGAAGUAUAUUUUUCCUCCUCAACUCCUGACGAACUCUAGGUUUAGUCCAAGGGCCUGUUCGCCUCCCAACUCUCCCAACUCCAAAGAUUCAGCUUCUGAACCUAUCUUUAAAAAAAUCAGCUUCUACGAGUAGGGUGUUUCGGUGCCCAGGCUCAUCUGCACCCUGUUAGAAAAAAACAUAAAAAAUUCAAAACAAAUUCAAAAAAAUUCAAUUUUUUUUGUGUGGUAGAAAAUUUGAUGCGUGAGACCCGCUCAAAUUUCAUGUCAUUUGGACAUCUGAGAAGCUCUCAAAAAACAUUUUUACAGACCCCAAUUUGUCUUUUUUGCUGAGAGCUGCUCAGAUGUCCAAAUGACUUGAAAUCUGUAACGGGUCUCACGCAUCAAAUUGUCUACCACACAAAAAAAUUGGAUUUGUUUGAAUUUUUCUAAUAUUUGUUUUGAUUUUUUUCGUCAACACGGAUGCAGAUGAGCUCGGGUGCAGAGAUGGAUUUUCGGCUUCUCCAUCGCUACUUGGCCUGCAUCUAGCGACAUAGCCCAAGAAGGAAGGGAGAGACGUGAUUCUCUUCGUUCAUGAAGAAAGAAGAGAGGAGAGAGACUAAACGAACCGUUGCAAAUCUUGUAAUUUUAGCAAACUCCAUGUUUUGAGGAUUCCAUGAAGCUGCUCAUUCCUCGGAGUUCGUGAAGCGUGGAGCGUGAAUGACUUUUGAACAGGCUCUAAACUUCAAAACCGAACAACUUGCGCCUUCAACUCUUGAAACCGGACAAGUUUAAUCCCUUGUCUCGGCUGACCCGGUAUCGCUGACUGACUCAACACAGUUUUGACCGGUCUUCGUCCACGUGGCGGGGUUUCGACGGGAGCUUCCGUGGCUCAUGCACAUACGCCAUGUGCAGCUCAACAUCAACAUCCCUGUCGCGCUCUCCUUCAUGUCAGUCGCACUUUGCCACGGGAGCAUCAUAGCUCGGCGUUGUCUCAGUUAUUGUGCUCCUCAUCGACGGAGCGGUCGCUGUUGCAACCAGGGGAUGUGGCAUCCACACGCACACUGGCCACCAGCCACACCACAGGCACCAUCAUCUCCUUGGUGGCGCUCGUCGCGACCCCGCCCAACAUGCCUGUGGUGUUGCCUUGUCCCAUUGCAGCUGUGCACCAGAUGGAGAUGCCCGGCAUCCUCUUGAGCUUCUCCUCGUGCUCCACCCCCGGACUGCGUUCUCGCGCACCCCGUACCACAUGCUCCCAGGCAGUGGAGAAGAGGAGGUCGAGAACGAGCACGAGGUAGCGCCACCGCCCGCAUGGCUUGCCUUCAUCUUUCGAAGCCACCAUAGCGACGCCGCCUGCUUACCUGCAUCCUCGUCAUGAAGCAGGGGUGGUUGUGGGCCACGGUGUCCGACGAUGUAGAAAGGGGAUGCAAGGUGCAACAAAGCUCGCGGUGGCCGGCGAGCUAGAGCAUAGACAGCAUGGCUGGCUAAAGGGACUUGCGAGGGUGCUGCCGUGGUCGGCACAUGCGGUGCAUGCAAGGUGUUCCAUGAAAUGUCUUGGUAAGCCAAUGUAAGAAGGAAGAAGAUAGGAGAGAGAAAUACUGCCAUGGAUGAAGACCGAUCAAAACCAUGUUGAACUAGUUGUGAUACCGUGUCUGCCGAGACAAGGGACUAAACUUGUCCGGUUUCAAGAGUUGAGGAUGUAAGUUGUCUAGUUUUAAAAGUAUUUUUUUGCGUGAAUGAUCCAGAUCUUUUAUCAAAAUUCAGCGAAAGUACAGAGCGUCUCGAACAUAAUAAAAAUUAUAUUGAUAUUCCAAGACCCCCAAACAACCACUAUUGCCGUCAAAACAAGCAACCGACGCGCUGCUGUCGCCGCUCCCCUAUCGGAGUCGGAUGGACCAUGUCGAUGACAACCGGGAAAUCUUGGUGCAUGCACCCCUAAGGACCAGUGCCCUGGAGCCGCAGUCGUCGUCGAACCCUUGCAUAGAUAUGAAUCAUCUAACAUCAAAUCUUGCCACAAGACGAGAAAACCUAACCUCACUGCCCCAAAGAGAAGGGCCAGAGCUCCGUCGACUACUUCUAGACAGACAAACUCGAGGAGGAACCCGGAAGGCAAACUCGUAGUAGUGUCGCCAUCCACCCGAGCAUCGUAAAUGCGAGGACUAAAAAACCCUAACCUAAACUACUGACCUGAGCAGCGAAACCGAGAUUCCCUGAUAACGCACAAGUAUAGGGGAUCAAUUGUAGCCUCUUUUGAUAAGUAAGAGCGUUGAAUCCAACGAGGAGCUAAAGGCAGAACAAAUAUUCCCUCAAGUUCUAUCGACCACCGAUACAACUCUACGCACGCUUAACGUUCGCUUUACCUAGAACAAGUAUGAAACUAUAAGUACUUUGUAGGUGUUGUGGAAUAGGUUUGCAAAAAUAUAAAGAGCAUGUAAAUAAAAACUAGGGGCUGUUUUAAGUAAAGAAGCAAUAAAGUUAGUAUAGCGAGUGUGGAAAAGUGGUGGUAUGAGUUGCGAAAUUGUCCCUAAGCAAUUGACUACUUUACUAGACCGAUAGCAAGUUUUAUGUGGGAGAGGCCACUGCUAGCAUGUCAUCCCUGACUUGGAAUUCUAUGCACUUAUGGUUGGAACUAUUAGCAAGCAUCCGCAACUACUAACGUUCAUUAAGGUAAAACCCAACCAUAGCAUUAAGAUAUAUUGGUCCCCCUUCAAUCCCGUAUGCAUCAAUUUCUAUGCUAGGUUGAAGCUUCUGUCACUCUUGCCCACCAAUACAUAGUCCUAUCAACAUACAACUAACCCUAUGGUGUGAUCCACACGCGCGCUCAUAUGAUGGGCACCAAAGGACAACAACAUAACCACAAGCAAAUUAAAUCAAUCAUAGCAAUUCACCAAUUACUGGUAGGACAACGAAAAUCUACUCAGACAUCAUAGGAUGGCAACACAUCAUUGGAUAAUAAUAUGAAGCAUAAACACCAUGUUCAAGUAGAGGGUACAGCGGGUUGCGGGAGAGUGGACCGCUGUAGAUAGAUGGGGGAAGGUGAUGAAGAUGUUGGUGAAGAUGACGGAGGUGUUGGUGUAGAUUGCGGUGACGAUGAUGGCCUCGGCGGCGUUCCGGCGCCACCGGGAGAGAGGGGCAGUGAGCCCCGCUUCUUCUUCUUCUUCUUCCUUGACCAUCCCCCUAGAUGGGAGAAGGGUUUCCCCUCUGGUCCAUGGCCUCCGAGAUUGGAUCUGUAUCUCUGUCUCUCUCUGUUUCUGCGCUCCCUGAUUCUGCCCUUUCACAGUUUCUUAAAUUCUCGGAGAUCCGUAACUCCGAUUGGGUUGAAAUUUGGACACGAUUUUUAUCCGGAUAUUAGCUUUCUUGGGGCGAAAGAAGGGCACCAACCGCCUUACGGAGUGGCCAGAGGGCCCAGGGCACGCCCCUCACCCUCGUGGGCCCCUCGGGCAUCGUCUUGUGUUGAUUCCACUUCCCAAAAUUCACAUAUAUUCCAAAAAAUCUCCGUCAGUUUUUUUCCUGUUUGGACUCCGUUUGAUAUGGAUUUUCUGCGAAACAAAGAACAUGCAACAAACAGGAACUGGCACUGGGCACUGGAUCAAUAUGUUAGUCCCAAAAAUAGUAUAAAAAGUUGCCAAAAGUAUGUAAAAGUUGAAGAAUAUUGGCAUGGAACAAUAAAAAUUAUAAAUACGACGGAGACGUAUCAGCAUCCCCAAGCUUAAUUCCUGCUCGUCCUCGAGUAGGUAAAUGGUAAAAAAGAUAACUUUUGAUGUGGAAUGCUACCUAGCAUAAUCUUGAUCAUGUAAUCUAAUCAUUGCAUGAAUAUUAAGACACGACUGAUUCAAAGCAAUAGUUUAUCAUUUAACAUUAAGACAAUAAUACUUCAAGCAUACUAAUAAAGCAAUCAUGUCUUUUCAAAAUAACAUGGCCAAAGAAAGUUAUCCCUACAAAAUCAUAUGGUCUGGCUAUGCUCCAUCUUCACCACACAAAAUAUUCAAAUCAUGCACAACCCCGAUGACAAGCCAAGCAAUUGUUUCAUACUUUUGACAUUCUCAAACCUUUUCAACUUCCACGCAAUACAUGAGCGUGAGCCAUGGACAUAUCACUAUAGGUGGAAUAUAAUAUGAUGAUGGAGGUUGUGUGGAGAAGACAAAAAAGGAGAAAGUCUCACAUCGACGCGGCUAAUCAACGAGCUAUGGAGAUGCCCAUCAAUUGAUGUCAAUGUGAGGAGUAGGGAUUGCCAUGCAACGGAUGCACUAGAGCUAUAAGUGUAUGAAAGCUCAAACUGAAACUAAGUGGGUGUGCAUCCAAGUUGCUUGCUCAUGAAGACCUCGGGCAUUUGAGGAAGCCCAUCAUUGGAAUAUACAAGCCAAGUUCUAUAAUGAAAAUUCCCACUAGUAUAUGAAAGUGAUAACUCAAGAGACUCUCUAUAUGAAGAACAUGGUGCUACUUUGAAGCACAAGUGUGGUAAAAGGAUAGUAGCAUUGCCCCUUCUCUCUUUUUCUCUCAUUUUUUUGUUUUUUUGUUUUGGUGGGCUUCUUUGGCCUCUUUUUUUAUUUGGGCUUAUUUGGCCUUUUUUUAAGUCCGGAGUCUCAUCCCGACUUGUGGGGGAAUCAUAGUCUGCAUCAUCCUUUCCUCACUGGGGCAAUGCUCUAAUAAUGAUGAUCAUCACACCUUUAUUUACUUACAACUCAAUAUUACAACUCGAUAUCUAGAACAAAGUAUGACUCUAUAUGAAUGCCUCCGGCGGUGUACCGGGAUGUGCAAUGAUCUAGCGUAGCAAUGACAUCAAAAAACAGACAAGCCAUGAAAACAUCAUGCUAGCUAUCUUACGAUCAUGCAAAGUAAUAUGAAAAAAAUGCUCAAGUCAUGUAUAUGAUGAUGAUGGAAGUUGCAUGGCAAUAUAUCUCGGAAUGGCUAUGGGAAUGCCAUGAUAGGUAGGUAUGGUGGAUGUUUUGAGGAAGAUAUAAGGAGGCUUAUGUGUGACAGAGCGUAUCGUAUCACGGGGUUUGGAUGCACCGGCGAAGUUUGCACGAACUCUCGAGGUGAGAAAGGGAAAUGCACGAUACCGAAGAGGCUAGCAAUGAUGGAAGGGUGAGAGUGCGUAUAAUCCAUGGACUCAACAUUAGUCAUAAAGAACUCACAUACUUAUUGCAAAAAUUUAAUAGCCAUCGAAACAAAGUACUACGCGCAUGAUCCUAGGGGGAUAGAUUGGUAGGAAAAGACCAUCGCUCGUCCCCGACCGCCACUCAUAAGGAAGACAAUCAAUAAAUACCUCAUGCUCCAACUUCGUUACAUAACGGUUCACCAUACGUGCAUGCUACGGGAAUCACAAACUUCAACACAAGUAUCUCUACAAUCCACAACUACCCACUAGCAUGACUCUAAUAUCACCAUCUUUAUAUCGCAAAACUAUUGCAAGGAAUCAAACAUAUCAUAUUCAGUGAUCUACAAGUUUUAUGUAGGAUUUUAUGACUAAACAUGUGAAUGACCAGUUCCUGUCAACUCUCUAAAUAGAUAUAAGUGAAGCAAGAGAGUUUAAUUCUUUCUACAAAAGAUAUGCCCACGCUCUAACAAAUAUAAGUGAAGCAAAAGAGCAUUCUACAAAAGGCGGUUUUCUAUGUGUAGGGAAACAGGCAAUCCAUACUUCAAAUGAUAUAAGUGACGCACAUGUAGCAUUCUAUAAAGCCAUACUCAAAAGAUAUAAGUGAAGUGCAAUGAGCAUUCUAUAAAUCAACCAUGGACUAUCUCAUACCAGCAUGGUGCAUCAAAGAAAAGUGAAAACUAAAUGCAAAAGACCCUCCAAGAUUUGCACAUAUCGCAUGAACGAAACGAAUCCGAAAACAUACCGAUACUUGUUGAAGAAAGAUGGGAUGCCUUCCGGGGCAUCCCCAAGCUUAGACGCUUGAGUCUCCUUGAAUAUUUACUUGGGGUGCCUUGGGCAUCCCCAAGCUUGAGCUCUUGCCUCUCCUCCUUCUCCUCACAUCGAGACCUCCUCGAUCUUCGAACACUUCAUCCACACAAAACUCAACAGAAAGCUCGGUAAGAUCCGUUAGUAUAAUAAAGCAAAUAAAUACUCUAAGUACUGUUGCAAACCAAUUCAUAUUUUUUUUGCAUUGUAGCUACUGUAAUAUAACUUUUCCAUGGCCUAAUCCACUGAUAGAAAUCUAUAGUUUCAUCCAAACAAGCAAACUAUGCAUCAAAAACAGAAUCUGUCUUAAACAGGACAGUCUGUAGUAAUCUGAACAUUCACCAUACCUCUGGUACUCCAAAAAUUCUGAAACAAUUAGGAAAAAUAAACAAUUUGUAUAGAAAGACAGUGCAAAAUGUUUCAGAACCGUUUGACAUUCCAGUAAAAAAAUGUAAAAUCGCGCACUAUAGCCAAAGUUUCUGUUUUGCACCGCACAAACCAACAAGCAAUGUAAACAUCCUAAAGGCAAAUCUUGGCACAUUAUUUUUAUUUUUAAACUUUAUAAAAGCACACAACAGAAAUAAAUGACUCUCUAAAACUUCCGGGUUGUCUCCCUGGCAGUGCUUUCUUUAAAGCCAUUAAGCUAGGCAAAUAGUGCUCAAGUAAUGGAUCCACCCGGAUCCCAAGGUAUAUCAAAGCCAAUUUUAAUUAACAAUGAUUUGUGAUUUAGUAGUGAGCACAAAGUAACAUAUAUCAUGCAACAACGAAGUCUAACUCUCUUCCUAUGCAUUGGCAUGUCAUAAAAGAACAAUUCAUGCAUACAUAGUAAAGGCCAAUGCAUAGUAUAAACUGUUUCUUGCAAUUUUAUCAUAUUGGAAACAUGGAGAGGCGGAGAUGUAGUUCCUCUCUCAUAAUAAUUGCAAGUAGGAGAAUCAAGCACAUGCAUAUUAUAUCUAUCAAAAUCAUCAUGUGUAGUAGUGAAACGCAACCCAUCAAUAUAUUCCUUAAUAAGGGCAAACUUCUCCGAUAUAGUGUAGUCGGGAGAAUUCAAAAAGAUAAUAGGACUAUCAUGCGUGGGUGCAAUAGCAACAAUUUCAUGUUUAACAUAAGGAACUAUAGCAAGUUCAUCUCCAUAAACAUCAUUCAUAUUGGCAUCUUGGCCACAAGCAUAUCAAGCAUCAAGUUCAUCAAAAAGGGAUAUUUCAAACAAAUCAACGGGAUCAUAACAAUCAUCAUAGCAAUCAUCCUUCGGUAAGCACGAAGGGAAAUUAAACAAUGUAUGAGUUGAAGAGUUACUCUCAUUAGAAGGUGGGCACGGGUAGCUAAUCCGCUCUUCCUCCAUUUGUUCUUCGCUCUCCUCAUCAUUUUUUUCAUCCAAUGAGCUCACAGUUUCAUCAAUUUCAUCUUCCAUAGACUCCUGCAAAAUAUUAGUCUCUUCUUGGACAGCGGAGACUUUCUCAAAAAAUUCAUCAAUCAUAAUUGUAUUUAUAAUUCUCAUAGCAAUAUUUAAGGAUAGCUAAAUUUUCAGGUCUAUAAACUAAAUCAUCAAAAUCUUCAAACUCUUUAAACAAAGAUUCAAUUUCACAAGCACCCUUAAAAGCAACAAAUUCUUCUAUUUGUUCCACAUCAUAGUAAUCAUAUAUACCAUUAGCAUAAGAAGCUAAGGUUUCAUUAUCAUUAAAUUUGCAUGAAAAGGGAAGGUGUGGAGCCUUCAUCCUAGAGCUACAAGUAUAACCAUAUCUCAAGCAUAGUUGCCUAGCAUACCAAUACAACAUAUAAAUUUGAUCCCAUAAUAGUUUCCCUUUUUGAGUCGAGCGAUAAUCCCUAAAGUAUUCACGUUGAUCCAACGUGUCUCCCAUUAUAUAAUUGAAUGGGGUUUUCUCAGGAUUAUUAAAGUAGUGCAUAGUAUCUUUCACAUAAUGAGCAUCGAGGGUUUUAGGAGGUUCCCCAUCUCCAUGAGUAGCAAGUAAACCUAUUUUUUUUUUGGUAUUUCGUGUUCCAUAUCCAUAACUAAAACUAGAGAACAACUUAGAAGAACAAAUAAAAACUACUUAGCGAUAAAGCAAGCAAGCACACAUGAGAAUAUUCACCCCACGCUAUAACUCCCCGGCAACGGCGCCAGAAAAAGGCCUUGAUAACCCACAAGUAUAGGGGAUCAAUUGUAGCCUCUUUCGAUAAGUAAGAGUGUCGAACCCAACGAGGAGCUAAAGGUAGAACAAAUAUUCCCUCAAGUUCUGUCGACCACCGAUACAACUCUACGCACGCUUAACGUUCGCUUUACCUAGAACAAAUAUGAAACUAGAAGUACUUUUGGUGUUGUGGCAUAGGUUUGCAAGAAUAUAAAGAGCAUGUAAAUAAAAACUAGGGGCUGCUUUAAGUAAAGAAGCAAUAAAGUUAGUAUAGCGAUUGUGGAAAAGUGGUGGUAGGAGUUGCGAAAUUGUCCCUAAGCAAUUGACUACUUUACUAGACCGAUAGCAAGUUUUAUGUGGGAGAGGCCACUGCUAGCAUGUCAUCCCUGACUUGGAAUUCUAUGCACUUAUGGUUGGAACUAUUAGCAAGCAUCCGCAACUACUAACGUUCAUUAAGGUAAAACCCAACCAUAGCAUUAAGAUAUAUUGGUCCCCCUUCAAUCCCGUAUGCAUCAAUUUCUAUGCUAGGUUGAAGCUUCUGUCACUCUUGCCCACCAAUACAUAGUCCUAUUAACAUACAACUAACCCUAUGGUGUGAUCCACGCGCGCGCUCAUAUGAUGGGCACCAAAGGACAACAACAUAACCACAAGCAAAUUAAACCAAUCAUAGCAAUUCACCAAUUACCGGUAGGACAACGAAAAUCUACUCAGACAUCAUAGGAUGGCAACACAUCAUUGGAUAAUAAUAUGAAGCAUAAAGCACCAUGUUCAAGUAGAGGAUACAGCGGGUUGCGGGAGAGUGGACCGCUGUAGAUAGAUGGGGGAAGGUGAUGAAGAUGUUGGUGAAGAUGACGGAGGUGUUGGUGUAGAUUGCGGUGACGAUGAUGGCCCCGGCGGCGUUCCGGCGCUACCGGGAGAGAGGGGGAGAGAGCCCCCCUUCUUCUUCUUCCUUGACCUUACCCCUAGAUGGGAGAAGGGUUUCCCCUCUGGUCCAUGGCCUCCAUGGCCUCCGAGAUUGGAUCUGUCUCUCUGUCUCUCUCUGUUUCUGCGCUCCCUGAUUCUGCCCUUUCACCGUUUCUUAAAUUCCCAGAGAUCCGUAACUCCGAUUGGGUUGAAAUUUGGGCACGAUUUUUAUCCGGAUAUUAGCUUUCUUGCGGCGAAAGAAGGGCACCAACCGCCUUACGGAGUGGCCACAAGGGCCCAAGGCGCGCCCCUCACCCUCGUGGGCCUCUCGGGCAUCGUCUCGCGUUGAUUCCACUUCCCAGAAUUCACAUAUAUUCCAAAAAAAAUCUCCGUCAGUUUUUUCCCCGUUUGGACUCCGUUUGGUAUGGAUUUUCUGCGAAACAAAAAACAUGCAAAAAACAGGAACUCGCACUGGGCACUAGAUCAAUAUGUUAGUCCCAAAAAUAGUAUAAAAAGUUGCCAAAAGUAUGGUAAAGUUGAAGAAUAUUGGCAUGGAACAAUCAAAAAUUAUAGAUACGACGGAUACGUAUCACUCCCCUCCCCCGCCGGAGCGGUAGGCAGAGGGGAGGCAAAUCCACGGGCUCGUCAGGGAAGUUUGGAGAGAAGAGUUUGCCCUAGCCACUUAAGGUUUGAAAGGAAAACAAAUAUAUCUCCUUGUUGUUGAGCACUCUCUGCAAAUCGUCUGGUUUUAAAGUUGAGGGACUAAAUCUAGAGUUUUCCAAGAGUUGAGGGAUGUAAUGUAUACUUUUCUCCUUCUUUAAACGAUCAUAGCCCUGUGAAGGCACGCACACCCUUUAUCGCACACAAGCUACUUAAACUAAGUGUGUGUGUGUGUGUGUGUGUGUGUGUGUGUUAAUAGUCAGUGGAUUAUACCCAAUUCGUUUGGGCGAAACAUUUGCAAUUUAUCGCACACGGUUCACUUGGAAAAGGUGUUUGUAUGUGUGUGUGAUGAUUUCAUCUUCGCACACAUUUUGCUUUCUAUCACAUGGCACACAUUUCUUAUUUAUUGUGCGAGGAGGGGGGGGGGUAAUAGCACGGAUCUGUACUAGUGUUAGAGAUCAACGGUGUGAUUAGGUGAUGAGGCUAGUUUUAGAGGAGAGAGAGUGGAUGUCAAAUUAAUGACCAUCUUGAAGGAAAUAUUGCCCUAGAGGCAAUAACAAAGUUGUUAUUUUAUAUUUCCUUAUAUCAUGAUAAAUGUUUAUUAUUCAUUCUAGAAUUGUAUUAACCGGAAACUUGAUACAUGUGUGGAUACAUAGACAAAACACCAUGUCCCUAGUAAGCCUCUACUAGACUAGCUCGUUAAUCAAAGAUGGUUAAGUUUCCUAACCAUAGACAUGUGUUUACAUUUGAUGAACGGGAUCACAUCAUUAGGAGAAUGAUGUGAUGGACAAGACCCAUCCGUUAGCUUAGCAUAAUGAUCGUUAAGUUUUAUUGCUAUUGCUUUCUUCAUGUCAUAUACAUAUUCCUUUGACUAUGAGAUUAUGCAACUCUCGGAUACCGGAGGAAUACCUUGUGUGCUAUCAAACGUCACAGCGUAACUGGGUGAUCAUAAAGAUGCUCUACAGGUAUCUCCGAAGGUGUUUGUUGGGUUGGCAUAGAUCGAGAUUAGGAUUUGUCACUCCGAGUAUCGGAGAGGUAUCUUUGGGCCCUCUCGGUAAUACACAUCAUAAGGAGCCUUGCAAGCAAUGUGACUAAUGAGUUAGUUGCGGGAUGAUGUAUUACGGAAUGAGUAAAGAGACUUGCCGGUAACGAGAUUGAACAAGGUAUGAAGAUACCGACCAUCGAAUCUCGGGCAAGUAACAUACCGAUGACAAAGGGAAUAACGUAUGUUGUCAUUACGGUUCAACCGAUAAAGAUCUUCGUAGAAUAUGUAGGAACCAAUAUGAGCAUCCAGGUUCCGCUACUGGUUAUUGACUGGAGAAGUUUCUCGGUCAUGUCUACAUAGUGCUCGAACCCGUAGGGUCCGCACGCUUAACGUUCGAUGACAAUUUUGUAUUAUAUGAGUUAUGUGAUUUGGUGACCGAAUGUUGUCCGGAGUCCCGGAUGAGAUCACGGACAUGAAAAGGAGUCUCGAAAUGGUCGAGAGGUAAAGAUUGAUAUAUAGGACGAUGGUAUUCGGACACCAGAAGUGUUUCAGGAUGCAUUGGGUACUUAUCGGGUCACCGGAAGAAGUUCCAGGCACCCCCGGCAAAAGAUAUGGGCCUUAUGGGACAAGAGGGGAAACGCACCAGCCACAAAGGGGCUGGCACGUCCCCCCAUAUGGGCUGGCCAGAUUGGAGUAGAAAAGGGGAAGGAGGAAAGGAAAAAGGGAAUAGGAUUUCCCCUUCCCCCUCUUCCCUUCCUGCUUCGAAUAGGAAUAGGAAAGAGGGGAGGCCGAAUUGGGAGCCUCCUACUUGGGGCGCCCCCUUGGCUGCCUCUCCUCCCUUCCAACCUAUAUAUAUGUGGGGGAGGCACCACUAGAACACACAACAAACAUUGUUAGCCGUGUGCGGCGCCCCCCUCCAUAGUUUGCACCUCCGGUCAUAUUCACGUAGUGCUUAGGCGAAGCCCUGCGCGGAUCACUUCACCACCAGCGUCACCACGCCGUCGUGCUGACGGAACUCUCCGUCGACACUUUGUUGGAUCAAGAAUUCGAGGGACGUCAUCGAGCUAAACGUGUGCAGAACUCGGAGGUGUUGUACAUUCGGUGCUUGAUCGAUCGGAACGAGAAGAAGUUCGACUACAUCAACCGCGUUGUCAAACGCUUCCGCUUUCGGUCUACGAGGGUACGUGGACACACUCUCACCCUCUCAUUGUAAUGCAUCUCCUAGAUAGAUCUUGCGUGAGCGUAGGAAAUUUUUUCAAAUUGCAUGCUACGUUUCCCAACAGUGGCAUCCGAGCCAGGUCUAUGCGUAGUUGAUAUGCACGAGUAGAACACAAAGAGUUGUGGGCGGUGAUCAUCAUACUGCUUACCACCAAUGUAUUAUUUUGAUUCGGCGGUAUUGUUGGAUAAAGCGGCCCGGACCAACCUUACAUGACCACGUUCAUGAGACCGGUUCCACCGACAAACAUGCAACUAGUUUUGCAUAAAGGUGGCUGGUGGGUGUCUGUUUCUCCAACUUUAGUUGAAUCGAAUUUGACUGUGGCUAGUCCUUGUUGAAGGUUAAAACAGCAAACUUGAUAAAUCAUUGUUGUGGUUUUGAUGCGUAGGUAAGAACGGUUCUUACUAGAAGCCCGUAGCAGCCACAUAAAACUUGCAACAACAAAGUAGAGGACGUCUAACUUGUUUUUGCAGGGCAUGUUGUGAGGUGAUAUGGUCAAGGCAUGAUGUGAUAUACGUUAUUGUAUGAGAUGAUAAUGUUUUGUAAAUGUUAUCGGCAACUGGCAGGAGCCUUAUGGUUGUCGCUUUAUUGUAUGAAAUGCAAUCGCCAUGUAAUUGCUUUACUUUAUCACUAUGCAUUAGAGAUAGUUGUAGAAGCAAUAGUUGGCGAGACGACAACGACGCUGCGAUGGAGAUCAAGGUGUCAAGCCGGUGAUGAUGGAAAUCAUGACGGUGCUUUGGAGAUGGAGAUCAAAGGCACAAGAUGAUGAUGGCCAUGUCAUGUCACAUAUUUUGAUUGCAUGUGAUGUUUAUCUUUUAUGCAUCUUAUUUUGCUUAGUACGGAGGUAGCAUUAUAAGAUGAUCCCUCACUAAAAUUUGAAGGUAUAAGUGUUCUCCCUGAGUAUGCACCAUUGCGACAGUUCGUCGUGCUGAGACACCACGUGAUGAUCGGGUGUGAUAAGCUCUACGUUCACAUACAACGGGUGCAAGACAGUUUUGCACGUGCAAAAUACUCGGGUUAAACUUGACGAGCCUAGCAUGUACAGACAUGGCCUCGGAACACUGGAGACCGAAAGUCUAACGUGAAUCAUAUAGUAGAUAUGAUCAACAUAGAGAUGUUCACCAUUGAAAACUACUCCAUCUCACGUGAUGAUCGGACAUGGUUUAGUUGAUAUGGAUCACGUGAUCAUUUAGAUGACUCUAGGGAUGUCUAUCUAAGUGGGAGUUCUUAAGUAAUAUGAUUAAUUGAACUUAAUUUAUCAUGAACUUAGGGCCUGUUUGGUUCUAGACCUAGGAGUGCCACAUUUUGCCAUACAAUGUUGCCAAACUUGCCUAAGGUUAGUUCCUUAAAAUGAAAGCCACAAGUUGGCAAGCCUAAGGGAAUCUUACCACACUUUUUGUGUGUAUGUGAUGUGGGACCAUAGUGUGGCUUGCCUAAGAUGUGGCUUGAACCAAACACACACCUAAGUUGGUCAAACUUGCCUAACCUUAGGUGUGGCAAGCUUUGGCAAACUUAGUCUCAAACCAAACAGCCCCUUAGUCCUGAUAGUUUUUGCAUAUCUAUGUUGUAGAUCAAUGGCCCGUGCCACCGUUCCCUUGAAUUUUAAUGCGUUCCUAGAGAAAUCUAAGUUGAAAGAUGAUGGUAGCAACUACAUGGACUGGGUCCGUAACUUGAGGAUUAUCCUCAUUGAUGCACAGAAGAAUUAUGUCCUUGAUGCACCGCUAGGUGACAGACCUGUUGCAGGAGCAGAUGCAGACGUUAUGAACGUUUGGCAAACUCGGUAUGAUGUCUACUUGAUAGUUUAGUGUGCCAUGCUUUACGGCUUAGAACCGGGACUUCAAAAACGUUUUGAACGCCAUGGAGCAUAUAAGAUGUUCCAAGAGCUGAAAUUGGUAUUUCAGACUCAUGCCCGCGUCGAGAGGUAUGAGACCUCGGACAAGUACUUUGCCUACAAGAUGAAGGAGAAUAGCUCAACCAGUGAGCAUGUGCUCAGAAUGUCUGAGUACUACAAUCGCUUGAAUCAAGUGGGAGUUAAUCUUCCAUAUAAGAUAGUGAUUGACAGAGUUCUCUAGUCACUAUCACCAAGUUACUGGAACUUCGUGAUGAACUAUAAUAUGCAAGGGAUGACGAAAACGAUUCCCGAGCUCUUCGCGAUGCUAAAAUUGGCGAAGGUAGAAAUCGAGAAAGAGCAUCAAGUGUUGAUGGUUAACAAGACCACCAGUUUCAAGAAAAGGGGCAAAGGAAAUGAAAGGGAACUUCAAGAAAGAAUGGCAAUCAAGUUGCCACUCCCGUGAAGAAGCCCAAAGCUAGACCUAAGCCUGAAACUGAGUGCUUCUACUACGAAGGGAAUGGUUACUAGAAGCGGAACUACCCCAAAUACUUGGCGGAUAAGAAGGAUGGAAAAGUGAACAAAGGUAUAUUUGAUAUACAUGUUAUUGAUGUGUACUUUACUAGUGUUCAUAGUAACCCCAGGGUAUUUGAUACCGGUUCAGUUGCUAAGAUUAGUAACUCGAAACAGGAAUUGCAAAAUGAACAGAGACUAGUUAAGGGCGAGGUGACGAUGUGUGUUGGAAGUGAUUCCAAGGUUGAUAAGAUCACCAUCGCACACUCCCUCUACAUUAGAUAUUAGUGUUGGACCAAAAUAAAUGUUAUUUGGUGUUUGCGUUGAGCAUGAAUAUGAUUGGAUCAUGUUUAUUGCGAUACGGUUAUUCAUUUAAGUUAGAGAAUAACUGUUGUUCUGUUUACUUGAAUAAAACCUUCUAUGGUCAUACACCCAAUGUAAAUGGUUUAUUGAAUCUCGAUCGUAGUGAUACACAUAUUCAUAAUAUUGAUGCCAAAAAGAUGCAAAGUUGAUAAUGAUAGUGCAACAUAUUUGUGGCACUGCCGUUUACGUCAUAUGGGUAUAAAGCGCAUGAAGAAACUCCAUACGGAUGGAUUUUUGGAAUCACUUGAUUAUGAAUCAUUUGAUACUUGCGAACCAUGCCUCAUGGGCAAGAUGACUAAAACUCUGUUCUCCGGAACAAUGGAGCGAUCAACUGACUUACUGGAAAUAAUACAUACCGAUGUAUGCGGUCCGAUGAGUGUUGAGGCUCGCGGCGGGUAUCGUUAUUUUCUGACCUUCACGGAUGAUUUGAGCAGAUAUGGGUAUAUCUACUUGAUGAAACACAAGUCUAAAACAUUUGAAAAGUUUAAAAAAAUUCAGAGUGAAGUGGAGAAUCAUCGUAACAAGAAAAUAAAGUUUCUAAGAUCAGAUCGCGGAGGCGAAUAUUUGAGUUAUGAGUUUGGUCUUAAUUUAAAACAAUGUGGAAUAGUUUCACAACUCACGCCACCUGGAACACCACAUCGUAAUGGUGUGUCCAAACGUCGUAACCGUAUUUUAUUAGAUAUAGUGCGAUCUAUGAUGUCUCUUACCGAUUUACCACUAUUGUUUUGGGGUUAUGCAUUAGAUACAACUGCAUUCACGUUAAAUAGGGCGCCGUCUAAAUCUGUUGAGAUGACACCGUAUGAACUAUGGUUUGGCAAGAAACCUAAGCUGUCGUUUCUUAAAGUUUGGGGUUGUGAUGCUUAUUGAAAAAGCUUCAGCCUGAUAAGCUCGAACCCAAAUCGGAGAAGUGCGUCUUGAUAACCCACAAGUAUAGGGGAUCACAACAGUUUUCGAGGGUAGAGUAUUCAACCCAAAUUUAUUGAUUCGACACAAGGGGAGCCAAAGAAUAUUCUCAAGUAUUAUCAGUUGAGUUGUCAAUUCAACCACACCUGGAAAACUUAAUAUCUGCAGCAAACUAUAUAGUAGAAAAGUGGUAUGGAAGUAACGGUAACAGUGGCAAAAGUAACGGUAGCAGUUUUGUAGUAAUUGUAGCAGUGGUAACGGUAAAGUAUGUAAGCAAAGAUCAAUAUGUGAAAAGCUCGUAGGCAUUGGAUCAAUGAUGGAUAAUUAUGUCGGAUGCGAUUCCUCAUGCAACAGUUAUAACAUAGGGUGACACAAAACUAGCUCCAGUUCAUCAAUGUAAUGUAGGCAUGUAUUCCGAAUAUAGUCAUACGUGCUUAUGGAAAAGAACUUGCAUGACAUCUUUUGUCCUACCCUCCCGUGGCAGCGGGGUCCUAUUGGAAACUAAGGGAUAUUAGGGCCUCCUUUUAAUAGAGUACCGGACCAAAGCAUUAACACUUAGUGAAUACAUGAACUCCUCAAACUACGGUCAUCACCGGGAGUGGUCCCGAUUAUUGUCACUUCGGGGUUACCGGAUCAUAACACAUAGUAGGUGACUAUUGACUUGCAAGAUAGGAUCAAGAACUCACAUAUAUUCAUGAAAACAUAAUAGGUUUAGAUCUGAAAUCAUGGCACUCGGGCCCUAGUGACAAGCAUUAAGCAUAGCAAAGUCAUAGCAACAUCAAUCUCAGAACAUAAUGGAUACUAGGGAUCAAACCCUAACAAAACUAACUCGAUUACAUCAUAAAUCUCAUCCAACCCAUCACCGUCCAGCAAGCCUACGAUGGAAUUACUCACCCACGGCGGUGAGCAUCAUGAAAUUGGUGAUGGAGGAAGGUUGAUGAUGACGACGGCGACGGAUUCCCCUCUCCGGAGCCCCGAACGGACUGCAGAUCAGCCCUCCCGAGAGAGAUUAGGGCUUGGCGGCGGCUCCAUAUCGUAAAAUGCGAUGAAUCCUUCUCUAUGAUUUUUUCUCCCCGAACGGGAAUAUAUAGAGUUGGAGUUGAGGUCGGUGGAGCUCCAGGGGGCCCACGAGACAGGGGGCGCGCCCAGGGGGUAGGCGCGCCCCCACCCUCGUGGACCGGGUGUGGGCCCCCUGGUCUUGAUUCUUUCGCCAGUAUUUUUUAUAUAUUCCAAAAAUAUUCUUCGUGAAGUUUUAGGUCAUUCCGAGAACUUUUAUUUCUGCACAAAAAUAACACCAUGGCAAUUCUGCUAAAAACAACGUGAGUCCGGGUUAGUUCCUUUCAAAUCAUGCAAGUUAGAGUCCAAAACAAGGGCAAAAGUGUUUGGAAAAGUUGAUACGAUGGAGACGUAUCAACUCCCCCAAGCUUAAACCUUUGCUUGUCCUCAAGCAAUUCAGUUGACAAACUGAAAGUGAUAAAGAAAAACUUUUACAAACUUUGUUUGCUCUUGUUGUUGUAAAUAUGUAAAGCCAACAUCCAAGUUUUCAGCAAAGAUUAUGAACUAACCAUAUUCACAAUAACAAUUAGGUCUUAUGUUUAAUCAUAUCAAUGGCAUAAUCAACUAGCGAGCAAUAAUAAUAAAUCUCGGAUGACAACACUUUCUCAAAACAAUCAUAAUAUGAUAUAACAAGAUGGCAUCUCGCUGGCCCUUUCUGAGACCGCAAAACAUAAAUGCAGAGCACCUCUGAAGAUCAAGGACCGACUAGACAUUGUAAUUCAAGGUAAAAGAGAUCCAGUCAUACUCAAUGUAAACUAAUAGUAAUGCAUAUAAAUGACAGCAGUGCUCCCCAACUGGUGCUUUUUAAUAAGAGGAUGAUGACUCAACAUAAAACUAAAUAGAUAGGCCCUUCGUAGAGGGAAGCAGGGAUUUGUACAGGUGUCAGAGCUUGAUUUUGAAAUAGAGAUAAAUAAUAUUUUGAGUGGCAUACUUUCAUUGUCAACAUAACAACCGAGAGAUCUCGAUAUCUUCCAUGCUACACACAUUAUAGGCGGUUCCCAAGCAGAAUGGUAAAAUUUAUACUCCCCCACCACCAACAAGCAUCAAUCCAUGGCUUGCCCGAAACAACGGGUGCCUCCAACUAACAACAGUCCUGGGGGAGUUUUGUUUGCAAUUAUUUUUAUUUAAGCAUGGGACUGGGCAUCCCGGCGACCAGCCAUUUUCUCGUGAGUGAGGAGCGGAGUCCACUCCUCUUGAGAAUAACCCGCCUAGCAUGGAAGAUACAGAUAACCCUAGUUGAUACAUGAGCUAUUCGAGCAUACAAAACAGAAUUUCAUUUGAAGGUUUAGAGUUUGGCACAUACAAAUUCACUUGGAACGGCAGGUAGAUACCGCAUAUAGGAAGGUAUGGUAGACUCAUAUGGAAUAACUUUGGGGUUUAUGGAAGUGGAUGCACAAGCAGUAUUCCCGCUUAGUACAAGUGAAGGCUAGAAAAAGACUGGGAAGCGACCAACUAGAGAGCGACAAUAGUCAUGAACAUGCAUUAAAAUUAAUAAACAUUGAGUGCAAGCAUGAGUAGGAUAUAAUCCACCAUGAACAUAAAUAUCGUGGAGGCUAUGUUGAUUUUGUUUCAACUACAUGCAUGAACAUGUGCCAAGUCAAGCCACUCGAUUCGUUCAAAGGAGGAUACCACCCUAUCAUACCACAUUACAACCAUUUUAAUAGCAUGUUGGCACGCAAGGUAAACCAUUAUAAACUCCUAGCUAAUUAAGCAUGGCAUGAGCAACUAUAAUCUCUAAUUGUCAUUGCAAACAUGUUUCAUUCAUAAUAGGCUGAAUCAGGAACGAUGAACUAAUCAUAUUUACAAAAACAAGAGAGGUCGAGUUCAUCCAGCUUUUCUCAUCUCAAUAAGUCCAUCAUAUAUCGUCAUUAUUGCCUUUCACUUGCACGGCCGAACGGUGUGGAUAAUAAUAAUAGUGCACGUGCAAUUGGACUAAGAUGGAAUCUGCAAGCAUUUAAUACAAAGGAUAAGACAAGGUAACAUGGGCUCUUUGUUAAAUCAACAAUAAUGCAUAUAACAACCACUUCAACAUUUUCAUUAUGGUCUUCUCCUCUCGACCCCCAAAGAAAAGAAAAGAAAUAAAACUAUUUACACGGGAAAGCUCCCAACAAGCAAAAGAAGAACGAGAAAUCUUUUUGGGUUUUCUUUUAAUUAUUACUACUACAGGCAUGGAAAGUAAACUAGCUAAAAGCUACAACUAAUUUGUUUUGUUUUUCUUAAGGUUUUUCAAACACACAAGAAGAAAGCGAGAAUAAGGAAAAUAAACUAGCAUGGAUAUUACAAUGAAAAAGUAUGGGCACCGACAACUGGGAUGAGUGUGUGAACAUGAAUGUAAUGUCGGUGAGAAAUACGUACUCCCCCAAGCUUAGACUUUUGGCCUAAGUUGGUCUAUGCCCACGGAUCAAAGCUACUCUCUCCGGUGUACCGAGGAGGAUCCUCGGGGUGCCACUAGUUAGCGAGCUCCUCCGGAUCCCACUGAUAAAUAGAUUGCCGAUAAGGGUCAAGUGGUGGUUCCGGUUCAGCCUCUGGAGCAGGUGUCACGCUCAAGUAUGCAUGAAUGGCCUCCGGCAAAAUGAGGUACGUGCCUGAAAAUAUGUUGAAUAAAGAGGGCGCAGGCAAGGUAAUAAUCUCACAAUAAUUUUUAUCAAAUAUCAAUUUAUACUUAAGCAUCUUCUUCUUAUCUUUAACAAUGAAAUCAUGUGCUACCAUACUCUUAUAAUCUAGAUAAAUAGGAGGUAACAACUUUUCCUCUUUCUCAUAAUGCCUGAUAGGUAUGUUAAAGUGUGCAGCAAGGCACGAAGCAAAGAUGCCUCCAAAGAUGGGACCCUUUGUACGGUUCAGAUUUAACCGUUUAGCAACAAUAGCGCCUAAACUGAAGGUAGUAUCACGAAACAAGGCAUGGCGCAAAAUAACAAUAUCAGGGGCACUAAGGAUUCCACUGUUCCCACGACCAAUUAAGCAACUACUAGCAAAUAUUGCAAAGUAACGCAGAACAGGAAAAUGUAUGCUAGUGAUUCUUGCAUCGAAAACUUUCCUUGUUUCCCCUACAGCAAUCAUAUCAAUAAACCCUUCCACAUCAUUACGAUGUGGUUCCUCUAUGCUGCCCGCAAAGGGUAACUUGCAAACCGCACAAAAAUCAUAAAGUGACAUCUCCUUAAACUCAUCAUACAAAUAAAAAUCCACUGAAGGUGGUGAUCUCCUAGCAUGGAAAUGAAAAUUUUGCACGAAAAUAUUAGUGAGGAGGAGAUACUGUUCGCGCUGGUCGCGGAGGAAGUCGGCAAGGCCCGCAUUCUCAGUCAAAUAAUAAAAAUCAUCAUGAAUCCCGGCCGCUCUGAAUAAUUCAUCACAAGGCCAUUCACACGGACGAACUUCCGUGGUGCGAGGAAGAUUAUAUUUGGGCUUCUUAUUCUCUUCACUUUGCUUAUCCUUCGAGCUUCGGCUCGAAGAACCUCUCAACAAUCUCUUCAUCAUUUUCUGAAAAUUUCUGAAAUUUUUAGUAACUCAAAAUAAAAGUGAACCAAACUCAACAAGAUUGAUAGCAACUACUCCCACAAGCGCCUAGAGACUAUGUCAUGCAUUAGAACUACUUGGACCAAAUAAAUUUGACAUGCAAGCUCAAGAACAGGGUCACUUAAGCAGCAAAAAUUUGCAAUAAAUAAAGCACUAGAACAAAAACUAAUUGGACCAUUGGAGGAGUCACAUACCGAAGAACAAUCCCCCAAAGCAGUUUUGUGAGUAGAGCUUUGAGCAAGGAGAUCGAAAAUUGCAGCAAAACGAGCUAGAACACGAGUUUGAGCUGUGUGGUGAUUUUUUCUGGAGGAAGACGAAGUGUGUGGGUGCUGGAAUAAGUGGAGGGGGGCCACGAGGCCCACGAGGCAGGGGGCGCGCCCUGCACCCUCGUGGCCAGGUGGUUGCCCCCUCUGGUGUGUUCUCAGUGCCAGAUAUUCUUAAAUAUUCUACAAAAAAAUCAUAUUUCAAUUUCAGGGCAUUUGGAGAACUUUUAUUUUUGGGGUAUUUUUUUAUUGCAAGGAUAAUUCAAAAAACAGACAGAAAAUACUAUUUUUGCUUUAUUUAAUCUAAAUAACAGAAAGUAAAAGGAGGGUACAGAGAGUUGUGCUUUCUAACUUCAUCCAUAUCAUGCUCAUCAAAAGGAAUCCACUAACAAGGUUGAUCAAGUCUUGUUAACAAACUCAUUCCGAAUCGCAUGAAACCGGAGAAUUUUCGCAUAGCACUAGGUUACCUCAACGGGGAUAUGCACGUACCCAAUAAUAAGAAUAUCAUAUUUCUUCUUGACAGUAGGAAGAGGAAAUUCAAAACCUCCAAUAGUAAUCGUUGGAAUUUUUCCAAUAGAAUUUAUACUGUGGACUUGAGGUUGUUUCCUCGGAAAGUGUACCGUAUGCUCAUUACCAUUAACAUGAAAAGUGACAUUGCCUUUGUUGCAAUCAAUAACAGCCCCUGCAGUAUUCGAAAAUGGUCUACCAAGGAUAGUCGACAUACUAUCGUCCUCGGGAAUAUUAAGAAUAACAAAGUCCGUUAAAAUAGUAACGUUUGCAACCACAACAGGCACAUCCUCACAAAUACCGAUAGGUAUAGCAGUUGAUUUAUCGGCCAUUUGCAAAGAUAUUUCAGUAGGUGUCAACUUAUUCAAAUCAAGUCUACGAUAUAAAGAGAGAGGCAUAACACUAACACCGGCUCCAAGAUCACAUAAAGCAGUUUUAACAUAGUUUCUUUUAAUGGAGCAUGGUAUAGUUGGUACUCCUGGAUCUCCAAGUUUCUUAGGUAUUCCACCUUUAAAAGUAUAAUUAGCAAGCAUGGUGGAAAUUUCAGCUUCUGGUAUCUUUCUUUUAUUUGUAACAAUUUCUUUCAUAUACUUAGCAUAAGGAUUCAUUUUAAGCAUAUCAGUUAAACACAUACGCAAAAAGAUAGGUCUAAUCAUUUCAGCAAAGCGCUCAAAAUCCUCAUCAUCCUUUUUCUUGGAUGGUUUAGGAGGAAAAGGCAUGGGUUUCUGAACCCAUGGUUCUCUUUCUUUACCGUGCUUCCUAGCAACGAAGUCUCUCUUAUCAUAACGUUGAUUCUUUGAUUGUGGGUUAUCAAGAUCAACAGCAGGUUCAAUCUCUACCUCAUUGUCAUUGCUAGGUUGAGCAUCAACAUGAACAUCAUUAUUAACAUUAUCACUAGGUUCAUGUUCAUUACCAGAUUGUGUUUCAGCAUCAGAAAUAGAAAUAUCAUUGGGAUUCUAAGGCGUGUCAACAACAGGUUCACUAGAAGCAUGCAAAGUCCUAUCAUUUUUCUUUUUCUUCCUCUUAGAAGGUCUAGGUGCAUCAACAUUAGUUCUCUGAGAAUCUUGCUCAAUUCUCUUAGGGUGACCCUCAGGAUACAAAGGUUCCUGAGUCAUUUUACCCCCUCUAGUCAUAACUCUAACAACAUUAUCAUUUUUCUUAUUAUUUAAUUCAUUGAGCAGAUCAUUCUGAGCUUUAAGCACUUGUUCUACUGGAGUGGUAACCAUAGAAGCAUGUUUACUAAUGAGUUUAAGUUCACCUUUAACUCUAGACAUAUAAUCACUCAAGUGUUCAAUCAUAUAAACAUUACGUUUCAGUUGUCUACCAACAUAAGCAUUGAAGUUUUCUUGUUUAACCAUAAAGUCAUCAAACUCAUGCAAGCAUUGGCUAGCAAACUUAGUAGACGGGAUUUCAGCUUUAUCAUAUCUAUAGAGAGAAUUUACCUUUACUACCUGUGUCGGGUUAUCAAGACCAUGAAUUUCUUCAAUAGGUGGUAAAUUCUGAACAUCUUCAGCUUUAAUACCCUUCUCUUUCAUAGAUUUCUUUGCCUCUUGCAUAUCUUCAGGAUUGAGAAAUAGAAUACCCCUUUUCUUCGGAGUUGGUUUAGGAGUUGGUUCAGGAAGUGUCCAAUCAUUUUCAUUACUCAACAUAUUAUUCAAUAGCAAUUCAGCUUGAUCAACAGUUAUUUCCCUGAAAACACAACCAGCACAACUAUCCAGGUGGUCUUUGGAAGCAUCGGUUAGUCCAUUAUAAAAGAUAUCAAGCAUUUCAUUUUUCUUGAGAGGAUGAUCAGGCAAAGCAUUAAGUAAUUGGAGAAGCCUCCCCCAAGCUUGUGGGAGACUCUCUUCUUCAAUUUGCACAAAAUUAUAUAUUUCCCUUAAGGCAGCUUGUUCUUAUGAGCGGGGAAAUAUUUAGCAGAGAAGUAAUAAAUCAUAUCCUGGGGACUACGCACACACCAGGAUCAAGAGAAUUAAACCAUGUUUUAGCAUCACCCUUUAAUGAGAACGGAAAUAACUUAAGGAUAUAGUAGUAACAAAUUUUCUCCUCAUGAGUGAAUAGGGUGGCUAUAUCAUUUAAUUUAGUAAGAUGUGCCACAACAGUUUUAGAUUCAUAGCCAUAGAAAGGAUCAGAUUCAACCAAAGUAAUUAUCUCAGGAUCGAUAGAGAAAUCAUAAUCCUUAUCGGAAAUACAGAUAGGUGAAGUAGCAAAAGCAGGGUCAUAUUUCAUUCUAGCAUUCAAAGAUUUUUCUUUCAGCUUAGCUAAUAAUUUCUUAAGAUCAUAUCUAUCAUUGCAAGCAAGAAAAUCUCUAGCAGUUUCUUCAUCCAUAACAUAACCCUCAGGCACAACAGGAAAUUCAUAUCUAGGGGGAGAAUCUUCAUCAUCACUUUCAUCAGUAUUAUCAGUUUCAAUAAUUUCAUUCUCUCUAGCCAUAGCAAGUUGUUCAUCAAGAAAUUCACCUAGUGGCACAGUAUUAUCAAGCAUAGAAGUAGUUUCAUCAUAAGCAUCAUGCAUAGCAGAAGUGGCAUCAUCAAUAACAUGUGACAUAUCAGCAUUAAUAGCAGAAGCAGGUUUAGGUGUUGCAAGUUUACUCAAAACAGAAGGUCAAUCAAGUGCAGAGCUAGAUGGUAGUUCCUUACCUCCCCUCGUAGUUGAGGGAUAAAUCUUGGUUUUUUCGUCUUUCAAGUUCCUCAUAGUGAUCAGCAGAUAUAAAUCCCAAGUGACUCAAAGAAUAGAGCUAUGCUCCCCGGCAACGACGCCAGAAAAUAGUCUUGAUAACCCACAAGUAUAGGGGAUCGCAACAGUUUUCGAGGGUAGAGUAUUCAACCCAAAUUUAUUGAUUCGACACAAGGGGAGCCAAAGAAUAUUCUCAAGUAUUAGCAGUUGAGUUGUCAAUUCAAACACACCUGGAAAACUUAGUAUCUGCAGCAAAUUAUUUAGUAGCAAAGUGGUAUGGAAGUAACGGUAACAGUGGCAAAAGUAACAGUAGCAGUUUUGUAGUAAUUGUAGCAGUGGCAACGGUAAAGUAACUAAGCAAAGAUCAAUAUGUGAAAAGCUCAUAGGCAUUGGAUCAAUGACGGAUAAUUAUGUCGAAUGUGAUUCCUCAUGCAACAGUUAUAACAUAGGGUGACACAGAACUAGCUCCAGUUCAUCAAUGUAAUGUAGGCAUGUAUUCCGAAUAUAGUCAUACGUGCUUAUGGAAAAGAACUUGCAUGGCAUCUUUUGUCCUACCCUCCCGUGGCAGCGGGGUCCUAUUGGAAACUAAUGGAUAUUAAGGCCUCCUUUUAAUAGAGUACCGGACCAAAGCAUUAACACUUAGUGAAUACAUGAACUCCUCAAACUACGAUCAUCACCGGGAGUGGUCCCGAUUAUUGUCACUUCAGGGUUACCGGAUCAUAACACAUAGUAGGUGACUAUUGACAUGCAAGAUAGGAUCAAGAACUCACAUAUAUUCAUGAAAACAUAAUAGGUUCAGAUCUGAAAUCAUGGCACUCGGGCCCUAGUGACAAGCAUUAAGCAUAGCAAAGUCAUAGCAACAUCAAUCUCAGAACAUAAUGGAUACUAGGGAUCAAACCCUAACAAAACUAACUCGAUUACAUCAUAAAUCUCAUCCAACCCAUCACCGUCCAGCAAGCCUACGAUGGAAUUACUCACCCACGGCGGUGAGCAUCAUGAAAUUGGUGAUGGAGGAAGGUUGAUGAUGACGACGGCGACGGAUUCCCCUCUCCGGAGCCCCGAACGGACUGCAUAUCAGCCCUCCCGAGAGAGAUUAGGGCUUGGCGGCGGCUCCAUAUCGUAAAACGCGAUGAAUCCUUCUCUAUGAUUUUUUCUCCCCGAACGGGAAUAUAUAGAGUUGGAGUUGAGGUCGGUGGAGCUCCAGGGGGCCCACGAGACAGGGGGGCGUGCCCAGGGGGGUAGGCGCGCCCCCCACCCUCAUGGACAGGGUGUGGCCCCCCUGGUCUUGAUUCCUUCGCCAGUAUUUUUUUAUAUAUUCCAAAAUAUUCUCCGUGAAGUUUCAGGUCAUUCCGAGAACUUCUAUUUCUGCACAAAAAUAACACCAUGGCAAUUCUGCUGAAAACAACGUCAUUCCGGCUUAGUUCCAUUCAAAUCAUGCAAGUUAGAGUCCAAAACAAGGGCAAAAGUGUUUGGAAAAGUAGAUACGAUGGAGACGCAUCACGUCUUCAUAGGAUACCCAAAAGAAACUAUUGGGUACACCUUCUAUCACAGAUCCGAAGGCAAGAUCUUUGUUGCUAAGAAUGGAUCCUUUCUAGAGAAGGAGUUUCUCUCAAAAGAAGUGGGUGGGAGGAAAGUAUAACUUGAUGAGGUAAUUGUACCUUCUCUCGAAUUGGAAAGUGGCUCAUCAUAGAAAACUGUUCCCGUGAUGCCUACACCAACUAGAGAGGAAGCUAAUGAUGAUGAUCAUGAAACUUCAGAUCAAGUUACUAACGAACCUCGUAGGUUAACCAGAGCAUGUUCCGCACCAGUGUUAUGGUAAUCCUAUUCUGGAAAUCAUGUUACUAGACCAUGACGAACCUACGAACUAUGAGGAAGCAAUGAUGAGCCCAGAUUCCGAUAUGGCUUGAGGCCAUGAAAUCUGAGAUAGGAUCCAUGUAUGAGAAAAAAGUAUGGACUAUGAUUGACUUGCCCGAUGAUCGGUGAGCCAUCGAGAAUAAAUGGAUCUUCAAGAGGAAGACGAACGCUGAUAGUAGUGUUACUAUCUACAAAGCUUGAAUUGUCGCAAAAGGUUUUUGACAAGUUCAAGGUGUUGACUACGAUGAUAUUUUCUCACUCGUAUCGAUGCUUAAAGUCUGUCCGAAUCAUGUUAGCAAUUGUUGCAUUUUAUGAAAUCUGGCAAAUGGAUUUAAAAACUGCAUUCCUUAAUGGAUUUAUUAAAGAAGAGUUGUAUAUGAUGCAACCAGAAGGUUUUCUCAAUCCUAAAGGUGCUAACAAAGUGUGCAAGCUCCAGCGAUCCAUCUAUGGACUGGUGCAAGCAUCUCGGAGUUGGAAUACACGCUUUGAUGAGUUGAUCAAAGCAUAUAGUUUUAUACGGACUUGCGGUGAAGCCUAUAUUGGAGCACUACAACCUUUUUGAUAAGUACAUGUGAAUGACAUAUUGUUGAUCGAAAAUGACGUAGAAUUUUCUCGAAAGCAUAAUGGAGUGUUUGAAAGGAGUUUCUCAAAGAAAGACCUCGGUGAAGCUACUUACAUAUUGGGCAUCAAGAUCUAUAAAGAUAGAUCAGGACGCUUGAUAAGACUUUCGAUGAGUACAUACCUUGAUAAGAUUUUGAAGGAGUUCAAAAUGGAUCAGUCAAAGAAGGAGUUCUUGCCUGAGUUGUAAGGUAUGAAGUUGAGUAAGACUCAAAACCCAACCAUGACAAAAGAUAGAGAGAGAAUGAAAGUCAUUCCCUAUGCCUCAGCCAUAGGUUGUAUAAAGUAUGUCAUGCUGUAUACCAAACCUAUUACGUACCUUGCCAUGAGUUUGGCAAAGGGGUACAAUAGUGAUCCAGGAGUAGAUCACUGGACAACGGUCAAAAUUAUCCUUAGAGGACUAAGGAAAUAUUUCUUGGUUAUGGAGGUGAUAAAGAGUUCAUCGUAAAGAGUUACAUCGAUGAAAGCUUUAACACCGAUCUAGAUGACUCUGAGUCUCAAUCUGGAUACAUAUUGAAGGUUGGAGCAAUUAGCUAGAGUAGCUCCAUGCAGAGCAUUGUAGACAUAGAAAUUUACAAAAUACAUACGGAUCGGAAUGUGGUAGACCCGUUGACUAAACUUCUCUCACAAGCAAAACAUGAUCGCACCUUAGUACUCUUUGGGUGCUAAUCACAUGGCGAUGUGAACUAGAUUAUUGACUCUAGUAAACCCUUUGGGUGUUGGUCACAUGGCGAUGUGAACUAUGGGUGUUAAUCACAUAACGUGUGAUCUAUUGGUGUUAAAUCACAUGGCGAUGUGAACUAGAUUAUUGACUCUAGUGCAAGUGGGAGACUGAAGGAAGUAUGCCCUAGAGGCAAUAAUAAAGUUGUUAUUUUAUAUUUCGUUAUAUCAUGAUAAAUGUUUAUUAUUCAUGCUAUAAUUGUAUUAACCGGAAACUUGAUACAUGUGUGGAUACAUAGACAAAACACCAUAUCCCUAGUAAGCCUCUACUAGACUAGCUUGUUAAUCAAAGAUGGUUAAGUUUCCUAACCAUAGACAUGUGUUGUCAUUUGAUGAACGGGAUCACAUCAUUAGGAGAAUGAUGUGAUGGACAAGACCCAUCCGUUAGCUUAGCAUAAUGAUCAUUAAGUUUUAUUGCUAUUGCUUUCUUCAUGUCAUAUACAUAUUCCUUUGACUAUGAGAUUAUGCAACUCCCGGAUACCGGAGGAAUACCUUGUGUGCUAUCAAACGUAACAACAUAACUGGGUGAUUAUAAAGAUGCUCUACAGGUAUCUCCGAAGGUGUUUGUUGGGUUGGCCUAGAUCGAGAUUAGGAUUUGUCACUUCGAGUAUCGGAGAGGUAUCUCUGGGCCCUCUCGGUAAUACACAUCAUAAGAAGCCUUGCAAGCAAUGUGACUAAUGAGUUAGUUGCGGGAUGAUGUAUUACAAAACGAGUAAAGAUACUUGCCGGUAACGAGAUUGAAGUAGGUAUGAAGAUACCGACGAUCGAAUCUCGGGCAAGUAACAUACCGAUGACAAAGGGAAUAACGUAUGUUGUCAUUACGGUUUGACCGAUAAAGAUCUUCGUAGAAUAUGCAGGAACCAAUAUGAGCAUCCAGGUUCCUCUAUUGGUUAUUGACCGGAGAAGUGUCUCGGUCAUGUCUACAUAGUUCUCGAACCCGUAGGGUCCGCACGCUUAACGUUUGAUGACGAAUUUGUAUUAUAUGGGUUAUGUGAUUUGGUGACCGAAUGUUGUUCAGAGUCCCGGAUGAGAUCACGGACAUGACGAGGAGUCUUGAAAUAGUCAAGAGGUAAAUAUUUAUAUAUAUAGGACAAUGGUAUUGAGACACCAGGAUGCACCGGGUACUUAUCGGGUCACCGGAAGGGGUGCCGGGCACCCCCGGCAAAGAUAUGGGCCCUAUGGGCAAAGAGGGGAAAUGCACCAGCCACAGAGGAGCUGGUUCGUCCCCCUCAUAUGGGCUGGACAAAUUGGAGUAGAAAAGGGGAAGGAGGAAAAGAAAAGGGGAAUAGGAUUUCCCCUUCCCCCUCUCCCCUUCCUACUCCGAAUAGGAAUAGGAAAGAGGGGAGGCCGAAUUGGGAGGACCCCAAGUAGGAUUCCUCCUACUUGGGGUGCCCCCUUGGCUGCCUCUCCUCCCCUCCAACCUAUAUAUAUGUGGGGGAGGCACCGCUAGAACACACAACAAACAUUGUUAGCCGUGUGCGGCGCCCCCCCUCCACAGUUUACACCUCCGGUCAUAUUCACGUAGUGCUUAGGCAAAGCCCUGCGCGGAUCACUUCAUCAUCACCGUCACCACGCCGUCAUGCUGAUGGAACUCUCCCUCGACACUUUGCUGGAUCAAGAGUUCGAGGGACGUCAUCAAGCUGAACGUGUGUAGAACUCGGAGGUGCCGUACGUUCGGUGCUUGAUCGGUCGGAACGAACAAACGCUUCCGCUUUCGGUCUACGAGGGUACGUGGACACACUCUACCCCUCUCGUUGUUAUGCAUCUCCUAGAUAGAUCUUGCGUGAGCGUAGGAUUUUUUUUGAAAUUGCAUGCUACGUUUCCAAACACAUAUAGCCCCCUACUUUCUACUUUUAAAGGUAAGACAAAGAGACCCUUUAUAUCUUGAUGGUGGUCUAGCCAUUUUGUAGUAUGCUGAUGAUAUCACCUUCCUUAUGGAAAGAUGACCUAGAGAAGGUUCUGAAUUUGAAUUUGUACUCUAUGCGGGCUAUGCCAUAUAGUGGCAGUCCUCCAAAUCAGCUAUAACGAGACUAUAGCCGGCUAUUUUCAAAAAAAAAUUGGACAGUUAUAGAUGAAUCCUAUAGCCACCGGCUAUUUAAAACUUUGCUACGUGUGUUUGGGCAAUUGUCUGGGUUGAAAAUCAGUUUUCACAAGAGUGAGAUUUAUUUCCUGGGGGAUGCCAAUUCGAGAGUGGAAGAGUAAAGAAAAUUUUGACCUAUGAGGCUGGGCUUCUUCCUUUGAAAUAUCUGUGGCUCCCUAUGCAUGCUAAAAGACUGAGAAAUUCACAAUGGGUUACAUUCGGGGAUUUUUUUUUGAGAAAAUGAUGGUUGGAUGGAUUAAUCUUUUAUCCAUUGGAGGACCAGAUCACUCUAGUUAAUUCCUGUCUGACUAGUAUUCCUUUUGUUUAUGCUAUCCAUCCUGGAAGCACCAAAAUGUGUGUUUUAGAAGAUGAAUUCUAGCAGAGACAGAAUGGACUGGCAGGAGACUCAAGACAAGAAAAAGAAAACAGUUAGUGAAUUUGCAUGUUCUUUCCAUGCCUAAGAGUUGUAAUUGCUUAGGGAUCAUGAAUCUGGAGGUUAUGAACAAAUGCCUGUUGAUGAAAUGGCUUUGGAAGUUGAAAAACUCCAAUUGUAUUUGGCAGGAGAUGAUUACUAAGAAGCACUUGCAUGGUCUGACUCUGACUGGGUUGCUGAUGGAGGUAGCGGCUUCAUUUUUGACAAGGUUUGAUGAAACCUUCAUUAGCCUUAGCAGCAGAUUGAUUGGUGAUGGAGCCAAACACUACUCUCGGAAGAUGGUUAGGAGAUAAACUCCUCGCAGAACAAUUUUCCGGAAUAUAUAAUGUUUAUUUUAGAGAUAAAUACACCGGGAGUCUUCAAACUCGCACGCGACAGUCAGUUUGGUGUACAAACUUGUAAAAUACGUGAUUCUGAUAAUCGAACUUGCGCGGGUGUGCAGAUACGGGCACAUAUCCCGUACAUGGGCAUAUCCUAUGCUUGGCUGCCUGCUGUCAGCAACAGAUGGCGCUCAGCGCGGCUUGUUUUGCACAAAACGCCAUAGCCUUUUUUAUUUGAGAAAAAUUAACAACUGGUGGGUCCCACUUAACAGUAUAUAGCGAAAUUUAAACACGAAAAAGUGUGUCGCCUAGUCUAGAACACAAGCCUAAGGCGAGGACACAAUCCGGCCAAGCCACUCCAACCAAAUCCUGUAGAUGUUUACGUAGGAUAACUUUGCUUUACUGUACUAUAACGAAGGUGCUCGUGUAGCAGAAAUGGGUUUCAUUUUGUGCGGCCUAUUUUGCAUCUGCUCUCCUUUUUUUACAGAUUAAUAGAUAUGUAGUAUGUAAAUUAUAAUUUCAAUAAUAAAAUGACUUUCAAAUAUUGUUCAUGUAUUAUUUUAAAAUAAUAUUUACGAAUUGUAAAAGAUGUUUGCAUAACUAUAAUGCAAAUAUUUUUUAAAAUAUUCAUAAAUGUAAAAAAAUAGUUUUGAUUUUUUAGAAUAAUUUAAAAAUAAAGAUAAUAAUUUUAAAAAUAGUAAUAAUAAAAUAAUUAUGUAUAGUUGCACCUGUUCGUUUUUUGGAAUUUUUGGAGCAGAAAACUUUGUUCAUGNNNNNNNNNNNNNNNNNNNNNNNNNNNNNNNNNNNNNNNNNNNNNNNNNNNNNNNNNNNNNNNNNNNNNNNNNNNNNNNNNNNNNNNNNNNNNNNNNNNNNNNNNNNNNNNNNNNNNNNNNNNNNNNNNNNNNNNNNNNNNNNNNNNNNNNNNNNNNNNNNNNNNNNNNNNNNNNNNNNNNNNNNNNNNNNNNNNNNNNNNNNNNNNNNNNNNNNNNNNNNNNNNNNNNNNNNNNNNNNNNNNNNNNNNNNNNNNNNNNNNNNNNNNNNNNNNNNNNNNNNNNNNNNNNNNNNNNNNNNNNNNNNNNNNNNNNNNNNNNNNNNNNNNNNNNNNNNNNNNNNNNNNNNNNNNNNNNNNNNNNNNNNNNNNNNNNNNNNNUGCACACAUUUUUAUAAUCCAAUGUUUGUAUAAGUAAAAUAUUCAUAAUUAAAAUCUAAAGUCUUGGUAUGAAUAUUUAAUCGUGUCUAAUAUGUAAAUUAUAUAUUCUUUUUAAAUAUAAAUCAUGAUUAAAAAUUAUACACAAGUGAAUAUUCAUAAAUAUUUAAUAAAUGUUGUAUUCAUCAUUUUGUAUAAUUUAAAUAUAAGUAUCAUUUUGUAUAAUUUAAAUAUAAGCCACGAGUGUAUAAUUCUUUUUGUAUUCAUUAAAUUUUUUUAUUUAAUAACGUUUUAAAUAUCUGUAUUAAAUAAAUAUAUUUUAUGUAAUACACAAGUGUAUAUUUCAUAAACUGUUGAUUCUACAUGUUACUUGUAUUAAGUCACGUCAUGUGCACGACACAUAUUUAGUUGAUAAUCCCGGACGUUUUCAGUAUAAGUGAAAUUGCAUCUCAUUUUAGACACGUAAAUGUUCCUGUGGCAGUGGUUGGGUAUUUCUUGUGCGUACCUAAGCUAGCUAGAUCGAAGACCCACCACCCGCUUCUGUAUUUCGCUCCUCACUGGAACAUAUUUUUGGUACCAAUGAUGAUUUUUUUCUGCAAAUAAACAAAGGCGAGGCUGUUUUACGCAAGAACAUGUUGCAUCAAGUGCCAUCUUGUCACUGACAGUGGGCCUUGCACACUCUGGCGUGCCAAACAAGCAUCGGAUAUGUCCGCAUACGGGAUAUGUGAUCGUAUUUGCACGCUCGCGCAAGUUCGAUAACCAGAAUCACGUAUUUUACAAGUUUGUGCACUAAACUGAUCGUCGCGUGCAAGUUUUAAGACUCCCAGUGUAUUUACCUCUUUAUUUUACCAAGAUUGACAGUUUUAUGGCCCAAGGUGCCUCAUCGUACCGGAAGCCGACCCAUGUCCCCUAGGUCGGUUUAAGCCCUCGGCCAACGACGUACCAACCUAUGCGCCUAUUAUAGAGGAGGACCCAAAAGACUUAGAGUACAUGACAAUGACAAGUCAACCGACGUUUAGGAGAACUCCUCCCUAACUCUAACCGAUUAGGAUCCUAUAACCCUAGACCCCGGUACCCAUAUUAAUCAGGGAUUAGCCUAUGCGAUAGGAACAGAGCCUGUUGUUAUGGGCAAGAAAUGCCCAUUGGACCUCCCUGACGAAUGCAGUCACGUACCUGUGUACGUAUUACCUCAAUAUUCUACACGCGGAUACGUUGGUAAACAACAAAGUGUUGGCCCUCGACGAAGUAGCGAGCGGCCGAGGCCCGAGGGCGCUCCGACCACGUCCCGGUCGGCGCUGAUACAUUCCAUGCGCUUGUUCACAGUGUCAGGCUGUCAGCUCGCUCGCUCGCCAUCCUCGGGGUCGCGGGCACGUCGCUUCUCGGUCUCUAUCCAGUUUGUACGUAUCCACGCGCUGCCAGCGGCUUGCAACCGCGCGCGGGCUGAAAAUCCAAGCCUCUGAAUUUCUUGUCUGCACUAGCAGCCGAUGCAAAGUUCUUCACCACUCACUACCAUGAACUUCCUGGCCUAUGAAGUACUAGUAUAAUUUGGACUGAACCAUAGGGAGUAGUACGUUUUAGCUCAAGGUCGCCAGAAGCCAAUGGCAGGUUGCCACCGCAAAACUCCACUUGUUUGGGAGUUUAUUACGUAGUACUCCGGCAGCUAGUUAGCUAGCACGGAACAAAAAGCAUAUCCAAUUGUUGCACGGACCGCUACUGCGGCGAAGGACUCGAAGAUACUGCCGCAGGUGGCCAAUUGUUGCACCUCAUUUGCUUAUAAUAGUCGCGUCAUUCUUCGCGCCGUCUUGGGCGCGCGCACGGGUGUAUAGCAAUAAAAAAAAUAGCGCGCUACAGCAAAAUAGCUUCGACCUCAAAAUAUAUUAUUAGCGUGCUAUUAGCAAGACGUUGUAUACCGAUAUAUUUAGCGAGACAAUUCUCAAUACGCUAUAGUGUGCUAUUAGCAACGCUAUAAUGCGCUAUUUUUUUAGUGAUAUAUAGGCGUGCUAAUGCCACGUUCUAAUGACCGCUCAUACCAGAGACCGACCACCACCGAGAGGAAGCGGGGAGGCCGUAAGUGCGGCAGAGCGCGAGGUAAGCGGAGCUCCAUCGGAACCAAUGGCCGGCCAUGGCGGGCCGUUCGCGCUCGUCGCGCUGUGCGUGCUCGAGCUUGCGCUGCGAGGCGCCUGCGCCGGCGACGCGCCCGCGCCCGCACCCGCCCCCGCCCCUGGCCCGGAGCGGCUCGUGCCGGCCAUCUUCGUGUUCGGGGACUCGACGGUGGACGUCGGCAACAACAACAAGCUGCCGGACUGCACGCCCGCCUGCAGGGCCAACUACCCCAAGUACGGCGUCGACUACCCCUCCCACGAGCCCACCGGCCGCUUCAGCAAUGGCUACAACCUUGCUGACCAGCUAGGUGCCGUCAAAACUUCCUUCUCCCUUCAGUUUUACUAGUACUAUAUCUUACCUAGGAGUAUUUGUUAGAGGAGUUCAAUGCACAAGGAAAUUGAAUAUGGGCUUACUGAUGAACACGUGAAAAAUCUAUGUUGUCGCGCCAGUAACGAUCCAACGAAACUGUGAAAGGCUGCUGUCCUUGAGUCACGGGGUGACGAUCUUGGCACUAGGCGCCAAACACCUUUAGUUAACGUUUUCUUUUCUGCCUUUCAGUCGCCUGAAGCAGACUAUAGACAGAGCAGUGAAACCUCGUACGUACGAUUUGACGUUGUCGGGAGUGAACAAAGAAACCAGUCCAGACAUCCAAGGCAAAGCAUAGCAACUGGGUUAAGUUGGUUUUGUGUUCAUUUGUUGAAGUAUUCCCCUUAUACGGAAAAAACGCCAAUUAGGGAGUACACCUUACAAAGAUUACUAGAUGAUACCCUCACAAUGUUCUCUUCUUUUUCGGGGGUAAAGGAGAAUUUUUUUGCCGGAUUGUUUAGCAAUAUAUUAAGUGAGAAUUGGUUGUAUAGAACAUGAAUAUGUAGAGUAAUAAUAUGACAAAAACUGAAAUAAAUAUGAUUUGUGGUGUUUGGCAAUUGUAUAACUAGGCAAUUUCCCCACGCGUUGCCGCGGGAAUAUAAAGAUUAAUUACAGAUGGCUUAUAUAUGAACAAAAAAAAAUACAUCAAAAGCUACUAAUUUUAACAUGUAAAUAUUCCGUACUUGCAUUCUGUGUAAAUCAGGGCAUUUCACAACCUUUAGGAAGUAAAUAAGUUAAAUAAUUAUCUAGUCUACUACAUAUGUCCAAUGACAAAAAUAAACAUAUUAGUAUGCUUUGCAUGGGCUGAAAAAAUUGUUAGUGUAUGGUGAAGUGGGAUGAUUGCAUGUUGAGAGAAUUGGUGAUAAUGGAAUAAGGUUUGCAUGGGCUGAAAAAUAUUGUUAGUGGAUGCUGAUGUGGCACACCUGAUGAGGUGAAUCGCUUGCAUGUUGAGAGAAUUAGAAGUAGUGGAGAUCAACUAUUUAGGUAUUAUAGAUAUAAUAUCAUAACAGAAUGUAAAUUCUCAUGCAUGUUUCCAUGUGGAGGUGGUUUUUUAUUAUGCAUGGUUGCUUGUUGUGCUGAAGCUUUCUCCAUGCAUGUUGAAUCAUGAGGUGGCAUACUUGCAUGUUGAGAGAAAUAAAUUAGUGGGGUCUAGCUAUUUAGAUACUCCAAAGUACUCUGGUGGCGUCACGUGGCGCAAUGUAUGUGUUGAACUAGCCAUGCCGAUGGUCCCACCAGUAAAUCGACCACUCAGUGGAUUAGGUUUCCAAACUAUAACCUCGACUGGUUUCAUGGCGUGACUCACCAUGUCAUCCUCAACACAAGCAAAAAUCACCAACAACACUAGGUCUUGCAUUUGAGCUCACUUUGCUCACACACUUUCCACUAUCCUUGAACCCUCGAAGCUCUUGCAGCGGCAACAAUGAUCCCAUUAUUGCUGGAGGCAAGGGCAACUCUUAGCCCUGGUUUUCCUUCCUACCACCUCAAACCCUAGUUAUAGGCCUUGCGCUUGCGACUGAGGACCGGAAGCAAAUCAUUAGAGCAUCUACAGCCGGACUUGGCAAAUCUGAGUCCUUAAACGCCCGCGGAUGCGCCCGGGCACGGCCGCGGACAGUGACCAGUUAUAUGUCAAAUAACUGAUUCCACAAUCAGAUAUCUCAAAUAAAAACCUCAAAUCCAUACAAUUACAUGCAACGUAAACCUAAUCUUAAGCGGAACCCAUCUGGCCCCGCCGUGCCCAUGUCCGGCGGCUGGCUGCGCCCCUCAAAGUGUUGGUAUGGACACCGGCGAAGUAGAUUAGGACAUGGGACACGGGCCGGCUCACGGGACUCAAGGUGCCGCCGUCUGCCAUGCCCUAUUCCUACCAGGAGAGGCGGAGCGCAAGCCAGCCGGUCAUCUCCUCCUCGGGGCUGCGUGUGAUGAGUUCGGGGUCGACGGAUCUGGAGGUGUAGGAAUCGGAUCCGCUACCCGCCAUGCCGGAGAAGGCCGUAAAUCGCCGGACGGGAGCUUGGGUGGCAGAGGGAAGUGGAGUGAAGUGGCUAGGGUUUGAUCCGGGGAGCGGAUGGGGAGGAAUAUGUUGGGUCGGGUGGGCCAGCGUGGGCUGGGUCCGACGUGGCGGACGCGCUCGGGCCUCCCCAUAUCUGCCUCAUAUUUGGGUUGGAUAUGAGGGGUGCCGGUCAGCCCUGGCGUUCGAGGCGGGUUUGAGGCGUCUGUUUGUGUCGCUUUUUUUUGACCAGUCACUGACCGGGCCGUCCGCCCAGGCGUUUGAGGCGCUCGGCUGUAGAUGCUCUUACAUGAUAUAAUCAUAGUGUACAUAAUGUUGAACUUUAUUCAUUCUCCAAGGGCCAUUCUUUUUUGGAAAACAGGAAGGGCCACAAAGGACCCAGCUGGCAUUAACAUAACAAGAUUAUUACGACACAGUCUUUAAAAUGACAUGGAAGAAAUAGAAAAAUUUAGACAAGUCCUUCUAAUCAACACAAAAGACCUCCAAGUAAACUCCUAAAAGGCAAUCAGGUUCCUAAGCUCUACGAGCAAUCUCCUUCUAUUUACUAUGGUGCACAAAUCAAAUGAUAGUUAAAAAAAACAAGGAGAUAUUGCAACAACUUCAGCCAAUUUGGCAACCCAAAAAAGAAAAAAAAAAC
rnacentral:lncRNA from 1 species